rnacentral:rRNA from 1 species
AACGGCCGUACCAUGCUGAAUAUACCGGUUCUCGUUAGAUCACCGAAGUCAAGCAUCAUUGGGCGCGGUCAGUACUUGGGGUGGGUGACCACCUGGGAACACCGCGUGCCGUU